rnacentral:rRNA from 1 species
UACGUAGGGUGCAAGCGUUGUCCGGAAUUAUUGGGCGUAAAGAGCUCGUAGGCGGUUUGUCGCGUCGAAUGUGAAAUCCCGGUGCUCAACCCCGGGCCUGCAUUCGAUACGGGCAGACUAGAGUUCGGUAGGGGAGUCUGGAAUUCCUGGUGUAGCGGUGAAAUGCGCAGAUAUCAGGAGGAACACCGGUGGCGAAGGCGGGACUCUGGGCCGAUACUGACGCUGAGGAGCGAAAGCGUGGGGAGCAAACAGG